GACGAACGCUGGCGGCGUGCCUAAUACAUGCAAGUGGGACGCAAGGACACACACUGUGCUUGCACACCGUGUUUUCUUGAGUCGCGAACGGGUGAGUAACGCGUAGUUAACCUGCCUAUUAGCGGGGGAUAACUAUUGGAAACGAUAGCUAAUACCGCAUAAUAUUAAUUAUUGCAUGAUAAUUGAUUGAAAGAUGCAAGCGCAUCACUAGUAGAUGGACCUGCGUUGUAUUAGCUAGUUGGUAAGGUAAGAGCUUACCAAGGCGACGAUACAUAGCCGACCUGAGAGGGUGAUCGGCCACACUGGGACUGAGACACGGCCCAGACGCCUACGGGAGGCAGCAGUAGGGAAUCUUCGGAAAUGGACGAAAGUCUGACCGAGCAACGCCGCGUGAGUGAAGAAGGGUUUCGGAUCGUAAAGCUCUGUUGUAAGUCAAGAACGUGUGUGAGAGUGGAAAGUUCACACAGUGACGGUAGCUUACCAGAAAGGGACGGCUAACUACGUG
rnacentral:rRNA from 1 species